CUGCUGUUGUACGAGUACAUGCCCUUCGGCAGCCUGGAGAGUCAUCUCUUUGGAAACACGUUAAUUAUGUAAGAGACGAUAGGAGUAAUGACAUCAUAGCUCGGGCGUCUUGGGAGGAAAGUGGCGUCGGUGGUGCUGAGCCAGAACAAGUUCACUGGCUCUCCUUCUACCUACUGGAGCAUAUGGACGUGUCACGGAAGCCCUUCGUCGGGCCGUUCCUGUUGGCGCUACUGUCUGUCCAGUACCUGAGCAUAGCCGGCAACAGGUUCACCCAGGCGCUAUCCGACAAGGGGUCCUGCUGGGACAACCUCCGGCUUGUCGACCUGAUGGGGAGCAUCCCCCCCACUAUCACCAUCCUAUCCAACCAGCCGCCAAGCAUCUACUACUGCUCCCACUGGAUAUGCACUUAUAUAUGAAUAGCGUGCAUACAUCUGCACAACUGCAUAACAGUCACAAAUGAUUGUUUUGUGAAUCUGCAGAGAAUCUAAUUAUCCAUGUACGGCAAUAGCCAGAUUAAUUUGUUUACCCAAAAUUAUCAAGGUGAAUUCCUUGUUCUCGUUUUCUCAAGUCGAUGAUGCAUGCCAAAUAUCCUACCACUUUACAUUCGCUCUCUUUAAAUCAUUCAUCUAUUUGAUCAGGAAGCAUCUUGCUAUGAUCAAUAAAGACGGAAAAAUAGUGCACACAAUAGACGAGUGGCCGAGUACAAUGAGCUUCUUUUAUAGUCAUGGAUUAUUCAUGUGUUAAACAAGUUCUGCUCAUCGAUUAGUUAUUAUCAAACCUGUGGAUUAUGUUUUUACUAUAAUUUAUGAUUUAAUUUGUACCUUGCAAACUCGGCAAGUAAAAAUAUCACUUAUUUAAGAGCCGAGAGAGUGUUGUUAAAAUGUCUCUGAUUACCUUUUAAAUGUUUUACAAGAUUCAGCGAUAUAUGAGUAUACUUCCAUGUCUACUUGAUUUCUAUACAGAAUAUGGAACCAGAUGUAGUGAAAUGUUUGCAUACCAUGUCUGGAUUCAACAAGCUAUUUACUGAUGGCUGAUUUUUAAGGAUGUCUUAUGAAGUUGUGAUUCUGCGAGGAAAAGCUCGUGAGUGGAAUUAUUCAGUAUGGUGCUUGUGAUGUUUCCUUCAUAGCUCUUUUACAAUCAGCCAUUCCUCUAUUAUUAUUCGUAAAUGGUCCUCUAAAUCCUAAAUACACAAUAGAUUUUUUGUUGCACUCAUCUGUGUGUUACAAUCUAUUUCUUUCAUAUUUUUUCAGCGGUUCCAUUAUAUAUAUUCACUUUGGAAGGCAAAAAUUAUAUGUUGGCUGGUUGCCCAAGAAAUCAAAAAGGCUAAAUCUUGAGUUGUAUGGAGCAUGGUCAUUUGCUUGAAGUUUCCAAUGGACUGUAUAUACCAUUGAGUGAGAGGAAUUAUUCCAUGAGUGUGGACAAAUUGAGCUGAUCGAUUGAUUGAGAAAAUAUUGUGUGGAUGUUCUCAGAUCUCCUUGCUCCACUACUCCUUGGAUUAUUACCUUUGUCCAUAUAUUUUGGUUUAUCUGAGCUGAAGCAGUGAUAAUAUACUCUAGAUAAAAGGAUGGACACAUAAGCUUGGGACAUGAUUGUGGCCGC